GGAGGUAUAGCUUAGGGGUAGAGCUCAUGCUUCGCAUGCACGAGGUUCUGGGUUCCAUCCCCAGUGCCUCCG